UAGACCCUGCUGUGUUCGUGAUAAACCGGUUAAUUUUGGCCCAACACCAAAAUAUAGGGAGCCUGGACUCUGGGUGUGGCUUGCAGGCCCUCGAUGGGAGGGAAGCAUAAAGCAUCCAGGAGGGCACCCACCUGCGUGGGACGCAGGUUCAAAAUAACCGGUUACACACGACUCGGUGGGGCUUUU
rnacentral:other from 2 species